rnacentral:rRNA from 1 species
ACAUGCAAGUCGAGCGAAUCUGAGGGAGCUUGCUCCCAAAGAUUAGCGGCGGACGGGUGAGUAACACGUGGGUAACCUGCCUGUAAGAUUGGUGAUAACUCCGGGAAACCGGUAGCUAAUACCGGAUAACAUUUUGAACCGCAUGGUUCAAAAUUGAAAGACGGCUUUUAGCUGUCACUUACAGAUGGACCCGCGGCGCAUUAGCUAGUUGGUGAGGUAACGGCUCACCAAGGCAACGAUGCGUAGCCGACCUGAGAGGGUGAUCGGCCACUCUGGGACUGAGACACGGCCCAGACUCCUACGGGAGGCAGCAGUAGGGAAUCUUCCGCAAUGGACGAAAGUCUGACGGAGCAACGCCGCGUGAACGAUGAAGGCCUUCGGGUCGUAAAGUUCUGUUGUUAGGGAAGAACAAGUACCAGAGUAACUGCUGGUACCUUGCCGGUACCUAACCAGAAAGCCACGGCUAACUACGUGCCAGCAUCCGCGGUAAUACGUAGGUGGCAAGCGUUGUCCGGAAUUAUUGGGCGUAAAGCGCGCGCAGGCGGUUUCUUAAGUCUGAUGUGAAAGCCCACGGCUCAACCGUGGAGGGUCAUUGGAAACUGGGGAACUUGAGUGCAGAAGAGGAGAGUGGAAUUCCACGUGUAGCGGUGAAAUGCGUAGAGAUGUGGAGGAACACCAGUGGCGAAGGCGACUCCUCUGGUCUGUAACUGACGCUGAGGCGC